rnacentral:rRNA from 1 species
UGUUGCCUACGGGGCGCAGCAGUGGGGAAUAUUGCGCAAUGGGCGAAAGCCUGACGCAGCGACGCCGCGUGAGGGAUGAAGGUCUUCGGAUCGUAAACCUCUGUCAGCAGGGAAGAACGGUCACUGUGCUAAUCAGCAGUGAAUUGACGGUACCUGCAAAGGAAGCACCGGCUAACUCCGUGCCAGCAGCCGCGGUAAUACGGAGGAUGCGAGCGUUAUCCGGAUUUAUUGGGUUUAAAGGGUGCGUAGGCGGAUUUUUAAGUCAGCGGUAAAAUGUCCGGGCUCAACCCGGGCCGGCCGUUGAA